AGCGAACGCUGGCGGCAGGCCUAACACAUGCAAGUCGAACGAACCCUUCGGGGUUAGUGGCGGACGGGUGAGUAACACGUGGGAACGUGCCCUUUGGUACGGAAUAACUCAGGGAAACUUGAGCUAAUACCGUAUGUGCCCUUCGGGGGAAAGAUUUAUCGCCAUUGGAGCGGCCCGCGUCUGAUUAGCUAGUUGGUGGUGUAAUGGACCACCAAGGCGACGAUCAGUAGCUGGUCUGAGAGGAUGACCAGCCACAUUGGGACUGAGACACGGCCCAAACUCCUACGGGAGGCAGCAGUGGGGAAUCUUGCGCAAUGGGCGAAAGCCUGACGCAGCCAUGCCGCGUGGAUGAUGAAGGUCUUAGGAUUGUAAAAUCCUUUCACCGGUGAAGAUAAUGACUGUAGCCGGAGAAGAAGCCCCGGCUAACUUCGUGCCAGCCGCCGCCGUAACAC
rnacentral:rRNA from 1 species